ACGCACGCUGGCGGCGUGCUUAACACCUGCACGUCGCACGGAAAGGCCCUGCUUUUGUGGGGUGCUCGAGUGGCGAACGGGUGAGUAACACGUGAGUAACCUGCCCUUGACUUUGGGAUAACUUCAGGAAACUGGGGCUAAUACCGGAUAGGAGCUCCUGCUGCAUGGUGGGGGUUGGAAAGUUUCGGCGGUUGGGGAUGGACUCGCGGCUUAUCAGCUUGUUGGUGGGGUAGUGGCUUACCAAGGCUUUGACGGGUAGCCGGCCUGAGAGGGUGACCGGCCACAUUGGGACUGAGAUACGGCCCAGACUCCUACGGGAGGCAGCAGUGGGGAAUAUUGCACAAUGGGCGGAAGCCUGUUGCAGCAACGCCGCGUGCGGGAUGACGGCCUUCGGGUUGUAAACCGCUUUCGCCUGUGACGAAGCGUGAGUGACGGUAAUGGGUAAAGAAGCACCGGCUAACUACGUG
rnacentral:rRNA from 1 species